CGAACUUCCUGUUUCUUUGUCUAAACAACGUUGUGCUCACGCAUCGUCGGAGAAACGCUCUGAACAGCGACGUGUGUGUGUAUGUCGAGCUGGAGAGCAUGCUAGCUGAUGGCCAACACUUAAAUUAGCGCCCUUGGAACGGCGGAAUGAGUUUUCACGGUGCUUACGGUACACGGUGCUGGUCGAGAGUGAGAAUAAAUCAACACCCGUUUGAAACUCUGCGUCUUGCUGAAUGAAUCCAAGGGGCCGCUACAAAAAGUAUCUAGGACUUUGAAUGUAAGACUUUUUCACAUUGGUGAUUGAUGCUUUUGAUUAAGUAAAGAACCUGAAUCUACCACGACUGAAAAUGUUUAAUUUUAUCAGUGUGUGGUAUGGCUAUCUCACACAGCUAGAAAACUAAAGUCUGCAUUUAUUUUCCCAUGUUUUGAAAAUUCUCUUAUGACAGCAUUGUGAAUAACAAAAGAAUCCCUGAUUAAAAUCUAAUUGUCUGAUGUCUUUUUGCUACUUAAAUGCAUGACCUGCAAGACAACUUAAAUUAUAUGUGGGAAUGUUCACCGUGUAACAUCUGCUGUGUUCACGCUGCCCUGUUUUUGUUUAUAAAAGCUCUGCUCUCACUGUUCACACUAAAUUGAGCUCGUAUAUUUUGAUUUUUAUGUGGGCAUUAUUUCUUUCUGUGUGUUGCGGCUCCCUGCUGGUAUCUGAGAGGCUGGAAACUCCAUUAGUAGGGGCCCCUGAUGAAAACCCAUUAAUGGCUGUGCUGUCGGGAUUGAGGUCGGGGGAAAGACCUGACAGCGCAACCGCACACAAAGCCAUAAAGCCUGAUGUAGCGGCCUCUCAUCGAGCAUUUGCAGCCGAGGAAGAAUAACUGUGCCGGUGUCUGCAGACCUGUUGAAUUAAAGGGGGCAUUAACUGCUGCUUCCUCUGCAUUAUUGAUGGAGGGCUCCAUUCCUGAGACCGUAAUGCCUCCUAUUUUUCCCUUCGCAAUUUUCUGGUAGACGUCUCGCUGUCUUCAAACACACUUCCGUGGUGAAAGCGAGCGAGAGUUCAGGCAGAGUGCUCCUCUGCUCCCUGCAGGUUGCUGUUAUUUUAAGCUGAACCGCCACAAUCAACGUGGAGCCAUGAAGCCCCCGCAACUCUUGUUCCCUGGGCGAAGUGAAAGUAAUCACAGGAUGACAAGCAUGGCACGAUGAGCGUUAUGCACGAUGCCACCUACAAUCACAAGGCCGGAAAAGGCGGUGAAGUUUCUUCUGCGAGGUGCCAGAUCGCAUGACGCCUCAAACACAGUGGAUGUGUGUUUGUCCCUGUGGUGUGACCUCAGAGAGCCAAAACCCAGGACUUUAUUAGAUUCUGAUGCCAGCUCGCUAACCAGGAUUACCUUAUGAGUCACCUCAGCUGCCACCCACAGUACAUUUGUUGAACGGAGGCUCACACUGCUGCCUUUAUCUGCUCUCACACAGCUUGAGACACCUUACCUCACGGCUGACCUCAUCCUGUCACAUGAUUCAAUGAGUGGAGCCGUGUCACAAACCACAGUGUCGGGGCUUUGACAGGAUAGGUCUAUACAGUGCACUAAAGAUUAAUGAGGUCAUCUCCUUCACAGGGUGUGCAACAGACACGGCGACAGGAAGAAGGAAAUCUCAUGACUUUGUGGAUCAUAUUAUAUAAAUGACACGCAAACAGAAUCAAAAUAACAGCUUCUCUAUUCAUAGUCACCUAUGUGGCGGGACGUGAAGCCCCUCCGGUCUUCAUAUCUACUUUGAAUUUUGAUAAUGGGCUGACGUUUUUUUUUUUUCGUAUUUUGUCCGCAGGGCUUUGUGUGCUCUGCCCUUUUGAUUCUGUCUGCAUGUGUGUGUUUUCAUGUGUGGGCUUUCUAUGAGGUAGAUGGCUUUGACUUUAUGAUGAUAACGCUCUCUGAGGGUGGUCCAGAAUCAAUCAAACCCAAAUCCAAAUGCUUGCCUCCCUUCUCUACAGGCUAUUUCAAAGGUUGGUAUUGAUUAUUCCACCCGUCCCUGCCUUUUGGAUGGAGGGGGGGCAGACAAAAGAGACUGCUUGAGAAAUGGAGAGAUGAUAAUGUAAUUACAGGGGGGAAGCCUUUGUAGACUGGACAGUAAUGCUUGAGGAGAGUGGAAGUUGAAUGUCAGACAAAAACAUGCUAUCAUAAACUCAGUGAGUGGUCAGGAGCCUAAUUCCUGUUCUAUUAGU